UUGCAAACACAAUUGCUCUGGUUAGCCCUGCAUGGACUUGGUUUACUGAAAAACACAGAAGUUGAAGAGGCUGUGCAUAGCAAUGUGAUAAUCUGCUACGGACGUGUUGAAGGCACCAGUGAAGGUCAUUGUUGUUACUGCUUUGGAGUUGCUAUCAGAAUCGAGAUGCAUUUCUCUUUUUGCAUUCCAGGGUGUGCCUGGGUUAUGCUUGCUUUUCAGUAAUGCCUUGUGUUGUAUGCACACAUUCUCAAGUGCAUGAUUGAAGGCUCAGACAUCAAUAAAUGGGGUGGAAGAUGAACAACAAGCCCAAGUUUACAGAGUGGAGUUGGGGAGCAGAACAGUGAGGCCGGAGAAGAUCAUAAAGCUCGGCACAGCAAUGAGACCGCGAGGGCAACUGACAAACUGAACAAAUUGGAUCGAGUCCCCAGGUUUCACUGCUGUGAAACAUUCAGAGCAGCGUCUCGGGAGAAGAUUUGAUGCCCCAAUUAUUGUACAACAGACAUUGACCAUAACCACAUUAGUCUUGGCUGGAUUUGAACCCUGGUGCCAGAAGGGAAAAAAGGCCAAUGGGCAAAAAUUGCAGGGAUGAAAUAAGAUCAGGAUUUGUGAUGUACCAAUGGAAGACCAUUCGAAAAUGCUGAUGCAUGUGGGUGCAGCAAAAAAGAAAUCGCUUCAAAAACAAACACGACUGAUUGUACUGGCUUUGCAGUACACACUUAGAAAAUCAUCUUGUUUUCACAUCCCCGGUCCUCGUAAAUGAGAGAGUGCAGAGUGCUUUGUUGUUGUGAAACCGCCCCCCCCAUGAAGAAAUAAUACUCUGCUCCCAACAUCGAGGUUGCAAAUAACAUCUCUCAGAUCAAACAACAAGUUGUGGACAAAUUAGAAUUUGGCAAGGGGCAUUCCUUGAAGGACUCGCUGCCCGAAAAAUUGGAAGAGGCGAUAAUAAACAGUCAAAAAAGAGGUAAAUACUGCUAAAGUAAACAUUGUGUGGAGAAAAAAAGCAGAGCAACAGCUGUACGUUUUAAACCCCAUCCCUAAGCCAGUUUGACUCUCCAGACUCACCGCCUCCCUUAAUGCAUAGACUUGCUGUGAAAAUCUGACAAGAAUGACUUGGGCAUCAAGAGGGUUAUGUAAGAUGUUUGUGUCGGCUGAAACCAUUCACCCAUUGUCACUCAGAAGGAGGUCAGAGCAGAGCUGACAUCAUUCACGUGGAGGAUGGAAGAAACAACAGUCACUGUGUGCAGUGAAUGCAUUUUAACACUUUUCCUGCCACACUAGUCGCUCCCAGCAAUCGGUAACCUUCCCAAGUUAUUGUGCACUUCAUAAAUUGUUUAAAUUGAGGAAAUAUUUCCGAAUAUAAAACCAUGUAAUCUGCCACCUUUCAGCUCUAAUCAAGUGCUUAUUAAUAUCAAGACAUUUAAAGCUGCUUUACUGGAGAACUGGAAAACCUCAGAAUUGAUAGUCGACUGGGGAUGAUACGAUUAAGCUCCCUCUUGUCUAAUCUUUCUGCAAUUGAGUUAAAAAUUAACUCAGUGUGUGUGUGUGUGUGUGUGUGGGUGGGGGCGGUGGGGUUGAAUCUCUCCUGGAGAAUAAUUUUCCCCCAGAUCAUAAAACAGAAGUGGCAGCUUUUCUUUAUUAACAGUGAUGGACAGAAAGAGGUUACAUAUUUCACAACAAUAACAUCG